GUCUGAGGCAGUAUGCGAGUGAAGACUGCUGCGAUUCUACUCUGUCUGUUACUUUCUCCAAACGGGCAUUUCAGAUCUCUCUGGUCUAAAGUGUGACUUCCACAGGUCCGGAACCGCCUUGACUGUUAUUUGAGAAUUGUUGGAGGCAAGAUAUAGAUAACCACCCCUGGUUGACCAUAUUUCUACCUCUGCCCAGUGAGCGCUUCCUGCCCAGGACCAGCUGGCUUGUGAGUGGAUUGGAAUGGACAAUAGAAUGUAAAGCCCACAUUCACUUUACCUUCAGUUGGACAUUUAUUACAAACUAGCACUUCAAUAUGGACACCUGACUCUUCACUUGGAUUUUCUGGAUGUUUUGAAGAUGGAGACCUAGCUCGAUCCCAGAUCUUUUAUGCAGUCGGUGUGACAAUGACCACACGGAUUUGCUAAGAUGGCACCAACGGAUAUGGGAUCAGGCUAAUGGAAACCCACUGUACCCACAUUCAGCUGGUCGUCUACCUGCCAUUCCGAGAGGUGCAGCUGGAGUUGGUGGAGCCAGCUAAGUGCAAGUAUGUUCUCCAGACCCUGAGACCCCCACAGCAGGCCCGCUGUGUGCUGGACUAGAGAGAGAGAGGCGGGACUCUGGGGGUCCUCUGAUCUACCCCAGAGAGGAUGGCCACUGGGCCAUGGUGGGGGUCACCUCCUGGGUAAAGGCUGUGGCCGGAGCCAGAUCAACAACAAGGCCGAGUCCCCAGCCAAGAUAGGAUCCCCGGGGGUCUUUACUGAUGUCAAGAUGCUCCUGCCCUGGAUCGAGAGGAAACUCGGAAAGUCAUCUAACACGUUUUAGUCAGUGUGAGCCAUGCAGGUCUACAAUUAACCUUUACUGUAUGAUGUGACUGUCGUCUUUGAACAGUGCAUUUGAUGCUGAUUGUGUGUGUACUGUGCUGCAGGACUUUGCAGUGAGGGAUGGGCCUGUGAGGGUCUCAAACCCAAACCUUACAGUCUGUCUCGACAACAACGAGUGGGUGUCAGUGUACAGGCCCGUUGCAUAGGGGGAGGGAGAGCUGUGCUGAAUUGAAUGCACUUUAAUUAAAUACGCUUUUAGGCCAAUUUACUCACCACUUGACAGCUGUCAUGGGCAGCAGGUAGCCAAGCUGUUAGACAGGCGAGCAGGCAGCCAGAGGGUUGCUGUUAUCAAAUCCUAGAUUCCAUUUCCUCUGUUGUGCCCUUGAGCAAGGCACUUAAUGCCUCACAACAACAGCCCCUGGGCGCCCAGUGUGGAAGCCCCCCCACACCUCUCCAAAAACCUGUAUGCAUGUACUGUAAGUCAAAUUUUGGUUGGACCUUGUGUGCAAUUGACCAAUAAAGUGAUCUUAAUCAGUUUAGUCAAAAGGUGGAAUACUUGUGACAGUUUUUUUCACAAAGUAAUAGAUUGACCCUGUAGGAAUAGAUAUACCUUAGAUGAAACUGUUCUUGGAACAUCAAAUGCAUCCAAUCAGUUUUCCAUACUGAUUCUUUGUCUCUGUCUCUCUCUGUGUAUAGUGGCAAGAAAAAGUAUGUGAACCCUUGGAUUUAAUAACUGGUUGACCCUCCUUUGGCAGUAAUAACCUCAACCAAAUGUUUUCUGUAGUUGUGGAUCAGACCUGCAGAAUGGUCAGAAUGAAUUUUGAACUAGUCCUCUUUCAGUUCAGCAAUAUUCUUGGGAUGUCUGGUGUGAACCGCUCUCUUGAGGUCAUGCCACAGCAUCUCAAUCGGGUUGAGGUCAGUACUCUGACUGGGCCACUCCAGAAGGCGUAUUUUCUUCUGUUGAAG
ensembl:lncRNA